GAUAAACGCUGGCGGCGUGCCUAAUACAUGCAAGUCGAGCGAACAGACGAGGAGCUUGCUCCUCUGACGUUAGCGGCGGACGGGUGAGUAACACGUGGAUAACCUACCUAUAAGACUGGGAUAACUUCGGGAAACCGGAGCUAAUACCGGAUAAUAUAUUGAACCGCAUGGUUCAAUAGUGAAAGACGGUUUUGCUGUCACUUAUAGAUGGAUCCGCGCCGCAUUAGCUAGUUGGUAAGGUAACGGCUUACCAAGGCAACGAUGCGUAGCCGACCUGAGAGGGUGAUCGGCCACACUGGAACUGAGACACGGUCCAGACUCCUACGGGAGGCAGCAGUAGGGAAUCUUCCGCAAUGGGCGAAAGCCUGACGGAGCAACGCCGCGUGAGUGAUGAAGGUCUUCGGAUCGUAAAACUCUGUUAUUAGGGAAGAACAAAUGUGUAAGUAACUAUGCACGUCUUGACGGUACCUAAUCAGAAAGCCACGGCUAACUACGUG
rnacentral:rRNA from 1 species